ensembl:misc_RNA Metazoa_SRP Metazoan signal recognition particle RNA
GGCAGGUGUGGUGGCAUGUGCCUGUAGUUCCUGCUACUAAGUCAUCUGAGGCAGGAAGAUUGCUUGAGCUCAGGAGUCCUGGGCUGCAGUGUGCUGUGUUGAUCAGAUGUCUGCACGAAAUUAGACAUUAGUAUAGUGACCUCCUGGGAUAAGGGACUACCAGGUUGCCUAAGGAGGGGCGAACCGGCCUGGGUUGGAGACAAAGCAGGGAACAACUCCCAGUUUGACCAGCAGGGGGUCAUGCCUGUGGACAGCGACGCAGCAGGGAGAUCCUUCCCGUGGACAGCCCCACAGCAGGGAGAUCCUGCCCAU